rnacentral:rRNA from 1 species
GACGAACGCUGGCGGCGUGCUUAACACAUGCAAGUCGAACGGAAAGGCCCUGCUUUUGUGGGGUGCUCGAGUGGCGAACGGGUGAGUAACACGUGAGUAACCUGCCCUUGACUUUGGGAUAACUUCAGGAAACUGGGGCUAAUACCGGAUAGGAGCUCCUGCUGCAUGGUGGGGGUUGGAAAGUUUCGGCGGUUGGGGAUGGACUCGCGGCUUAUCAGCUUGUUGGUGGGGUAGUGGCUUACCAAGGCUUUGACGGGUAGCCGGCCUGAGAGGGUUACCGGCCACAUGGGGACUGAGAGACGGCCCAGACGCCUACGGGAGGCAGCAGUGGGGAAUAUUGCACAAUGGGGGGAAGCCUGAGGCAGCAACGCCGCGUGCGGGAUGACGGCCUUCGGGUUGUAAACCGCUUUCGCCUGUGACGAAGCGUGAGUGACGGUAAUGGGUAAAGAAGCACCGGCUAACUACGUG